UCUCGAUCCUGCGGAUGCUCUUACGUGAUCCUCAUGUGGUUAAAAGAGGUCCAUUUCACGUUUUUGUUUGAGGUGAAGAGGUCAGAUUUAUGCUUCAGUUUGACUAUAUACUGGUGCUGAAACUUUGAUCCAUUUGGCGUGGGGGCUCAGUUGCUACCUUUAUGUUCGGUAUUGCAUCUACUACUUUUCAAGGUCAAACAUGGACAGGGCUUGGAUUUGCAAUAAACGGAUUGAUGAACUAAUGUGUCGAAACUAUGAUUUUGUUUUUUCAAUCGAUUUUAUCAGAAUCCUUUUGGAGUCAUGGAGAAGAUGUCCCAUUGAAAGAUGCAUUACUGAUUUGUUGAGCUUGAACAUGCUAUAAACCCGAACUUGCUAUUCUAUCCUAAAAGAUGCCCCCAUCCAAGGUUUCGUGUUUGGCUGAAUUCAAGAAGUUGGAGAGACUAGACCUCACCUUCAAUAAUCUGUUGUCACACGAGAUUAAUGGAUGUUCAAGCAAAGAAGAAGGCGCUGUAUCGUGCUAAAUUGAAAGCACAAAACCAGGACAAACGUAUUGAUUCUCCUCUUGCA